UACAGAGGGUGCAAGCGUUAUUCGAAAUUAUUGGGCGUAAAGCGCGAGCAGGCGGCGAUAUAAGUCUUGUGUGAAAUCUUCGGGCUCAACCCGGAAAAGUCAUGAGAAACUGUAUUGCUAGAGUAGAUGAGAGGAGAGCGGAAUUCCCAGUGUAGUGGUGAAAUACGUAGAUAUUGGGAGGAACACCGGUGGCGAAAGCGGCUCUCUGGCAUCUCACUGACGCUCAUUCGCGAAAGCGUGGGGAUCAAACAGG
rnacentral:rRNA from 1 species